CCAAUAAGAAACGAAAUCUAAGUGGUGGAUGUGAAU
rnacentral:guide_RNA from 1 species